rfam:Beta vulgaris subsp. vulgaris Bvchr1.sca001.con0141.1, whole genome shotgun sequence.
AUACUUACCUGGACGGGGUCUUUGGGCGAUCAACAAGGCUCAUGGCCUAGGGUGUUGGCCUCCAUUGCACAUAGGAGGAUCAACAGCCUAAGAUCUCCCCAAGUGGGAGAGUCUACGUCAUAAUUUAUUUCUGAGGGGCCUGCGUUCGCGCGGCCCCUAU